rnacentral:siRNA from 1 species
UGGUGAAGGCAGCUACUCGAC